rnacentral:rRNA from 1 species
UUGACCUCAAAUCAAGUAGGACUACCCGCUGAACUUAAGCAUAUCAAUAAGCGGAGGAAAAGAAACUAACAAGGAUUCCCCUAGUAACUGCGAGUGAAGCGGGAAAAGCUCAAAUUUAAAAUCUGGCAGUUCUGCUGUCCGAGUUGUAAUUUAGAGAAGUGUUACCCGUGCUGGACCGUGUACAAGUUCCCUGGAAUGGGACGUCAUAGAGGGUGAGAAUCCCGUCUCUGACACGGACUACCAGUGCAUUGUGGUGCGCUCUCAAAGAGUCGAGUUGUUUGGGAAUGCAGCUCAAAAUGGGAGGUAAAUUCCUUCUAAAGCUAAAUAUUGGGGAGAGACCGAUAGCGAACAAGUACCGUGAGGGAAAGAUGAAAAGAACUUUGGAAAGAGAGUUAAACAGUACGUGAAAUUGCUGAAAGGGAAACGCUUGAAGUCAGUCGCGUUGUGCGGGAUUCAGCCUGGCUUUUGCUUGGUGUACUUCCUGUACGACGGGUCAACAUCAGUUUUGACCGGUGGAUAAGGAUGUAGGGAAUGUGGCAUCCUCGGAUGUGUUAUAGCCCUAUGUCGCAUACAUCGGUUGGGACUGAGGAACUCAGCGCGCCGCAAGGCCGGGUUUUUAACCACGUUCGCGCUUAGGAUGUUGGCAUAAUGGCUUUAAUCGACCCGUC